UUUGGUUAUAACUAAAUUAGAUUAGAGCGCAAUGUAACUAAAACAUGCAGCAUGCAUUAUUCAUCAAGUUCCUGCUGCGAUAUGUGAUUUUGCUAUAUGGGCAGUAUGCCCAACUUGGUAUUUGGUGCUUAAAUACCUUGGCCACCCAGUAUCCAGUUCUCUUAUCUUCUCACGGAAAACAAGUCUCUUUUUUUUUUUUCAAUUUUCUUUUUAAUAUUUUUUCCCUUUUAUUUUGUCCAUAUGUAUUGUCUAGCUUUACAUAACUUUCAGCAGUGGUGGGGUUAUAGCUACUCGAAAAUUGAACACUUAGUGUUUGUAAAAAUGCCCGACUGAGUUUUUGAUUUUUAUUGUAUACUAAUCACUCAAUUUUACAUUUGAAUGAAACCCAUUUUGGUUUAUAGUUGAAAGCCAUUAUUUGGAGCAAGUCUUUUGCUAAUUUCCAAAGUUCAUGAUUCAUGAAACUCUGGUGAUUACAUAUAUCAUCAAAGAAAUGAAAAGGCUUUUAUAUGCCAUCAAUAAAAGAUGUGGGAUUUAUUAGUUGGAAGAGGACACUUUUUGUUUCAUGUUUAUUUGAAUUUUUGCUACACGGGUUUGAAAAUGUUGCAGCUAACUAGUUCUGAAUACCAAUCAUACUAGUGGAUGUGCCGAAGAACAUUGAUGUUGUGCAAAAUGUACAUGAAAUUCCCUCAUUUUCUGAUACUAAGGUUUUAAGAUAGUCUAUUUGGUUUAUAAAUGAAAACUAGAUUUUUGUUUGCACUUUGCACCUUUGUGACGAGUCAUGAAGCUGUGGUGAUUAUAUAGAUCAUCAAAGCAAUGCAGAUGCCUUUUGUAUUUCCAUGUCUAUACUAAAUUCUUGAUCAAUCAAAAUUAUGGGGAAUCAUGAGUUGAAGGAGAAGUUGAUGCAUUUUGUUUUGUGGUUGUUUGAUUUCUUUUGCUUCGUGGGUUUGAAAAAUGUUGCAGCUUAUCUAGUACUGAUCAAAUUAAUGGGGAAUCAUGAGUUGAAGGAGAAGUUGAUGCAUUUUGUUUUGUGGUUGUUUGAUUUCUUUUGCUUCAUGGGUUUGAAAAAUGUUGCAGCUUAUCUAGUACUGAUCAAAUUACUGGAUGUACUGUGGUCUAGUGAAUUUAAAUUGAAUGUAUGCAAUGCACAUAACUUAAAACCUCAAUAUUGUACCUGGUGCAACAUUUGUCUUAAAAUGAUAAUCGUAUUGAAGUUGGUUCUUAACAAGGAUAUUUGAUAGUUUCUCUAAGUUUUGGUGGACUUCGAGCUGUUCAUCUCGUAUCAAUUGUCUCUAAAGCAUGCACUUAAUUGUUCUCAAGAUAAUCCCCUCAAUUGAAAAUUCAAUAUGGAGAGGUGCACAAUGCAUUAUAAGGUAUGUAACCUACAGAGUUCUGGUCUUCAGAAUUUGUAUCUUGGUAAAGAAUGGAAGAUUAUCAUUUUUUUGGGAUGAUAUAUUUGGAAGUCUGCUAAUCGUUUUGUCCAUAUAUGUCUGCAGCUGCACAGCUACGUUAUGGAGCGAUUCUCCAUGCUGGAGAUUUCAGUUCCAGAGAUGAUCAUCUUUAAUUAGAAUGGUGCAAGGUUCUUCAAUGCACGCAUUUUGAG
rnacentral:lncRNA from 1 species